rnacentral:rRNA from 1 species
GAUCCUGGCUCGGGAUGAACGCUAGCUACAGGCUUAACACAUGCAAGUCGAGGGGAAACGACAUCGGAAGCUUGCUUCCGAUGGGCGUCGACCGGCGCACGGGUGAGUAACGCGUAUCCAACCUGCCCACCACUUGGGGAUAACCUUGCGAAAGUAAGACUAAUACCCAAUGAUAUCUCUAGAAGACAUCUGAAAGAGAUUAAAGAUUUAUCGGUGAUGGAUGGAGAUGUGUCUGAUUAG